AGCAGCCGCGGUAAUUCCAGCUCCAAUAGCGUAUAUUAAAGUUGUUGCAGUUAAAAAGCUCGUAGUUGAAUUUCGGGAUUGACACAUCGGUCGUGCCUUAAGGGGUAUGAACUGGUGUAGUCAAUUUCUCACCUUCUGGAGAACCGCGAUGCCCUUAAUUGGGUGUCGCGGGGAACCAGGACCUUUACUUUGAAAAAAUUAGAGUGUUUAAAGCAGGCAUUUUGCUUGAAUACAUUAGCAUGGAAUAAUAAAAUAGGACGGCAUGAUUCUAUUUUGUUGGUUUCUAGGAUCACCGUAAUGAUUAAUAGGGAUAGUUGGGGGCAUUAGUAUUCAAUUGUCAGAGGUGAAAUUCUUGGAUUUAUUGAAGACUAACUACUGCGAAAGCAUUUGCCAAGGAUGUUUUCAUUAAUCAAGAACGAAAGUUAGGGAAUCGAAGACGAUCAGAUACGUCUAGUCUACCAUAAACUAUGACCGACUAGGAAUCAGACGAUGUUUAAUUUUUAAUGUACUGUUGCUACCG
rnacentral:rRNA from 1 species